CCCCUAGAUGUUCUGGGCCGCACGCGCGCUACACUGAACAGUUCAACAAGUCUUAACCUUGGCCGAUAGGUCUGGGUAAUCUUUGAACGCUGUUCGUGAUUGGGAUAGACCUUUGCAAUUAUGGGUCUUCAACGAGGAAUUCCUAGUAAACGCAAGUCAUCAGCUUGCAUUGAUUACGUCCCUGCCCUUUGUACACACCGCCCGUCGCACCUACCGAUUGAAUGGUCCAGUGAAAUCUCGGGACGGCGGCUUGGUCGCUUGCGUCCGACUGCUGAAACUUGAUUAAACCAUAUCAUUUAGAGGAAGGUGAANUCGUAACA
rnacentral:rRNA from 1 species